AACGGCCGCGGUAUCCUAACCGUGCAAAGGUAGCAUAAUCAUUUGCCUAUUAAUUGUAGGCUAGAAUGAACGGGUUAACGAAAUAAAGACUGUCUCAAUUAAUUACCUAAAAAUUAUUAUUUAUCCGAAGAAAGAUAAAUAAUCUCGAAGGACAAGAAGACCCUAUAGAGCUUAAUUUAAAUUAUAGAAUUAAACUAUAAAAAUAUUCGGUUGGGGCGACCCAGGGCUAAACAAUCACCCACUAUAUAUAAGAUAGAUAAAUCAAGUAAUUGACCCUUAAAAGAUCACAAGACCAAGCUACCUUAGGGAUAACAGGCUAAUCCCACUCAAGAGUCCUUAUCAACAGUGGGGUUUGGCACCUCGAUGUUGGCUUAGG
rnacentral:rRNA from 1 species